ACGAACUAUGGUCUAUGUAAAUAUGCUCAGUGAAUAGUCAAGAUGAAUCAAAAGUAAUGCAAUAACAUAAAUACAGACAAAAUAGGGUGCCUGCUGAACACUAGAACUUUACGUCUAGAGACCCCACUGUUGUUGGUCAUUUUUUUAAUCACUGCGAGGCUCAAGCAAAACGUAUAUCAACCUAAAUAUCAACAAAUAUGUUGCAGGAACUGCCUAUAGUACUUGUUUUUGACUAUUGACAGCAGAAUCCCAUAAUGAAAAAGUCCUUCAAAUUUAAAUAAGGUAACCAAAACUAAUGGGAAUCAGCUACUUUUUUACUCACUAUGGAGUAAGACUCUCAGAUAUUACGUUAAAGAAUCUUAAUAGCUCAGCUUGAGAAGUGUCACCUGCCUUUACAUCGUAUUUCAUGUCAAAAUGGCUGCUGCAACAAGAAUAGCACGCCUCCCUCCCUGCUAUUUGUGCCUGAGGGCGUUAAGGUUGACCUUGUCCUGAGAAAGCAUAGACUGGCUGCAUGACUCCUCUGGGGAACCGUGUCGCCUCUAACCUGGGCUUGGACGGACGGACGUACGCAAGUGGAAAACUGUGAGGAAAUAGACAUUUGGAGCAGGGAAACCAUGGAGUCAAUUUAGUCACUGCCUACUACCUUUUCGCAUGCAAGUACAAAGCCAGCCUCACACGUUGGUGUUGACAAGAAUUUCUCUCUGAGGAAUUUAGGGACACAACAAUUCCUAGCAUCUGUUUCCUGCUCUCUUGCUCUGUGUGAAGGAAACAGAGUGUAAAUCACACCAAAUAUAAAUAGAAUCAGGAUUACAUUUUUCAGAAGCUAAAGUUGGUUGCUGUUCCACAGUGUUUUGGUUUGUCAGACACCAAAAUUUGUACCUGCUGUAAGAGGAGAAAUAAUAAAAAAUUAUUUAAAUAAUUAUUUCAUAUUUACAUGAGUAAUAUUUAAUUUACUCAGGUAAAUUAAAUAUAUUGCAUUGAUAAGCCUCAAUGAUCUAAAGUAUAUUGAACCAAGGAUCAUAUUUUCUUCACGUGCUUUAACUUAGAAACUUUGGAUUCAAUGUAAUCUUUGUGUUAAAUUUUAAAGCACAGCAGGAGCCUCCUCAAAUGUAAUUGGAUCAGAGUUCAAAGAACCUCGUCCACAGCAAUGAAUGCUAACAUGGUAGAAUAAUGUAUAAUCAUGCUAGUAGGUUGUGUUGAUGAAAAAUAACUAGUCAUUUAGCUGAGUAGUUAGUGCAAGCUAAUGCUAGGCAGUCCAACAUGCACCCCCCCCCCAUCCCAAAAAAAACAUCAAAUAUUUAUAAUUACAGUAUUACAAUUAUAAAUGUUCAUGGCUAAGUUAAUUUAUCAAUAAAAGCACACGUUUUUAUGCACAACUGAGUCAAAAAUAUUAAAUAAAUAGGAUCAAUUUAACCCAAAUAUUUCUUGCUUAUUAAUUUUGGAAAUGUCUAUUUCUUAUCAGUGUAAUGCUGGUAGCCUUGACUGCCACUAUAAAAAAUGGCUCCGUUUUGUCUUUGGUUCAAAGCUUAGUUAUCUGGAUUUUGUACAGUGAGUGCUUACUCAUAUUUGUGUUCUCUUUCAGUCACCGUGUGCAUUUAUUUUUUCCCAUGGACAGCCACUUUCUAUGGUUUUGGGAUCAUUUAAUCACGCUCAUCUGCUAGUUGUCCCAGUAGUCACUCCUCCAGGUAUUCAUUCUCAUGGUUUGUUUUCAGUCAGUGUUGGAUUUGCUUGUUUCCAUACCUGUUGCCACUCCUGUUGCCUCAUAUACCUCCCAGUAUUUCAGCCAUGCUGGUUUGUUGGACUUUCUAUUAUUAAAUUAAGCUUUUCAUUAAGUUCUACCUUCCUUCUGCGUGCAUUUCCAUUCCAUUCCAAAACAAAAUACAUUAAUUUUUGACAUUUGUUGGCCAUUUGUUGGUUAGCAUAACCUUGUAUAUUGUGUCAUACCUAUAAUCCAGUCCUGUUGUGUUAAAUACUGUCAGGGCUUUGUGAUUGCAUAUUUGACCAGGGACUGGGUCACCAAUAUAACUCCAGUGAGUUAGGUUGCUUUCUUUUGUUUUCUUGGGGUUCUUCCUUUCUUAUUAACCAAAAUUCCUGGUUGUUUUUAUUUAAAUCUACAAGGGUUUAAAGGAUUCACCACUGUACACCAAUGGUGGAAAAAUUCAAAAUAUAUCUAAAUCAAAUAAAAUUAUGUGCAUCUCU